UAUACAUCUAAAAGAGGAACCGCAAAGUGCUGCUCUUGCUGAGAGAUGACUUUUAGUCCAGAUCAGAGCCUGCAGCGCUGGGUGGAUGAGUGGAAAACAGUCCUGCUCCUUCCCUGCCCGCACCCCUGGGCAGGGGGCUGCUACCUCCAGCCCUGGGGGGCUGCCCCAGCCCUAUGGCACCUCGCAGCUGUCAUGCCAACGUGCUUUUGCAUCACCGGGGCUUGUACCCAAGAGUUUUAUGAGCUUCAGCUGGGAGUCUGGGCUCCUGGUGCUCAUCAUGUCCUGGAUGCAGGCAGGUUUGGAGAGGUUACUUGGUGCCAGCAAUACACUGGCUGAACACAAGGGACUCACACACCUCUUGUGUGCCUCAGUUUACCCAGCUCUCCUAGCCCAGUCAUCACCAAAGGAUCACACUGUCAGAGGGAAGUGUUCAGCCUAGGUAGAAAUGGGGACCAGCCAUAGCUCCUCAUGGACAGAGCAUCCCUUGUGGGUACCCAGGAGCUGGAGGAAGGGGAGACCCACCCCAGGGUGCUCCAGCAGGACCCUCCCCAACCACCUAGGGCUUCCUUUCUCUCCCUCCCCACCCCUCCAACAUCUCCCCCCUUGCUCCCAUAUGUUUCCUGGAGCCCUCACCCUCGACAGCCAGUGUCACAUUCGAUCAGGUGCCAGGCAAGAUAAACAUCACCGAUGCUCAGCCUGAGACUGCUCCAGAGAGGAGACAGUCAAGGAGAAAACGGAGUGUGAGGAGCUAAAAAUAGCAGCUGGCCAAGGCUGCCCUCCC